rnacentral:rRNA from 1 species
AUUGAACGCUGGCGGCAUGCUUUACUACAUGCAAGUCGAACGGUAACGGGGACGUUCGGUCUGCCGACGAGUGGCGAACGGGUGAGUAAUAUAUCGGAACGUGCCCAGUAAUGGGGGAGUAGCUCGGCGAAAGCCGGAUUAAUACCGCAUACGCCCUGAGGGGGAAAGGUGGGGGAGUCUUCGGACCUCGCGUUAUUGGAGCGGCCGAUAUCAGAUUAGCUAGUUGGUGGGGUAAAGGCCUACCAAGGCGACGAUCUGUAGCUGGUCUGAGAGGAUGAUCAGCCACACUGGGACUGAGACACGGCCCAGACUCCUACGGGAGGCAGCAGUGGGGAAUUUUGGACAAUGGGCGAAAGCCUGAUCCAGCCAUGCCGCGUGAGUGAAGAAGGCC